GGUCCAGUGGGUAGGACUUGGUGCUUUCAAUGCCAUGGCCCUGGGUUCAAUACCCGG
rnacentral:tRNA from 1 species